AUUUUUUCAUAGCGAUCAUAGUUCAUUUAUACAAUCAUCGGUUCAAGUUUUUUUUCCGAGAUACACAAUGUGUCGCAAUUGUCGGUGAUGUUCGUCAGCGUCUUGUGCUGUUUCAAACAAGCGAUUUUGGCAAUUUUGGAUGGUGUACGUGCUGCUGGCAAUGGAAAGGUACGAUGUACAUAUGAAACACUGCUUCUUCGGAGUGCUCGUCAGUCUGGGCAAACAAAUAUACAUCUGAAAAUAACUCCGGACCACAUUUCCUUCGUGACCUAAACGAAGAAGCGAUGAAGUUGCCUAUCGAUUCACUCGUAAGACAGUUAGUCGUCAAAAUAGCCCGUUUGAGCAAAGGCGGCCCAAGCUCUCUGAGAACCACCCAAAGAACACAAUUUGCAAAUCGAUUUAUGAGGAUUUUCUAGAAGAUAGCCAUAUAGAUAGUUAAAAGUGAAAAUAUUAGAUAAAAAGGCUUACCUUA